GAAUUUUCCAGGAAAGUAGCAAAUAGUAGAAACGAUUAUAUUUUAUUGACUGACUUCUCGUCUUUAUAAUCCUCACAGUGCCUUGCUAUUUAUUGUACUGCAGGAACCUGCAAAUCCUUAUUUGCUUUUGAGAUGCAUGAUGAAUGUUUCAAACAAGAAGUGGAAAGGUUCAACCAGUAGAGAAAAGCUCUUAUCAUGAAGGGUGUCGGUCUUUCUGGGUGGAAGUGGGAUCUCGCUGAUAUGGCAAAAGGGGACGAAUCAAAGUUUAUCGAAGAUGUGUUGAAUAAAUUGGAUUGCAAAUGCUUUCAUGUUUCCAAGCACAUGAUAGGUGUUGAUUCCGGUUUGUUACUAGAAAUUGCUACGAAAGAUGUUUACGUUGUGGGCAUAUAUGGAAUGGAAGGAGUGGGCAAGACACCUAAAACAGAGUCUGUAUUUAACAGACUUUGUUAAAUAUUACAGGGAAGUUGCUUUCUUUGAAAUGUUAAAGAAAUCUCAAAACAAUGGGAAGUUAUGGUUCAAUUACAUGAAUCACUUCUAAAACCAAAUAUUCUAAGGAUCAAAAGAGUUGAAAGAGAAAUCAAUUUGAUCAAAGAACGACUUUGUUGCAAAAAAGUUCUUAUUGUUCUUGAUGACAUGGGCUAAUCAUAACAAUUAGAUACAUUGGUUGGAGAGCUUGGAGAGCGAAGUUGGUUUGGUACUGGAAGGAGAUUAAUCAUUACAACUAGAGAUGAAUAUUUGCUAAAUGAACUUGAACUGGAUAUGAGGCUGGAAAGUUGGAUUGACAUGCCUCCAAGAGGAAGCUUUCAAAUAGUGUAGUGAUCUAGGACUUCCUUUAGCUCUUGAAGUUUUGAGUUCUUAUUCGUUCAAAAGAAGCAUCCUUGUAUGUUAAUGUUUAGUGCUAUUGAAAAACUUAGUAUUUAGAGAAGACUUGGGAUAAUUUUUGAGACGCUGGGUUAUGAUAAAGCAAAAGCUAUAUCAUGUUUUUUCUUUGAUUCAGACAGAAUAUGUAAUCAAGAUACUAUAUGGCCUUAGUUUCUUUUCAGAAAUUGAUAUUAAUUUUCUCGUUGAUAGUUCUCUUUUAACUAUUAACAAGUCAAAUCAAUUAGAGAUGCAUGGUCUGUUGCGAGACAUGGGAAGAGAGGUUGUUUGUGAAUUGUCACCUAACCAUCCUGGAAAACUUGGCAGAAUUUGGCUUCCUAGGGAUGUGCAUGGUGUGCUCAACAAUCAGACGUAAACUGAAGUUGUGGCGGGUCUCGCACUAGAUGUGCAUUUUACAUCAAAAAGUCUACCUCUAAGCAGGAUGAGAUAUUUAAAUUUACUUCUAAUUGUUGAAGUAAAUCUCACUGGACGAUAAAUAUCUUUCCAAAGAGGUGAUAUGCCUUUGUUGGCAUGAAUGCUCUUUGCAAUCUUUACCAUCCAUUUUCAACUGGAGACUAGUAGUUCUUGAUAUGCAGUACAGCAACAUGAAAGAACUCUGUAAUGAAAUCAAGGUAAGGCAUGUCAAUGGAAAGGCUGUCUGUUCAGACAAAAACAACACCUGCAUUGUUCGUGAGUGCCAAAAACAAAAUGAGAUUCAGGACAGGGAAGGCAUCAGAACUAUCUGGCCCAAUUUGUUGGAUGACUGCAGCAAUUUAGCAAAUACUUUUAAGAAGACUCUUGUUCAGGCUCUGUGCAAGGGUGAUGUACCAAGAUUGUUUCAGCUAUUGUGGAGACGGAUCUUCAUUAUCAUUUUAUCUUCCAGCAGUUGCAGAUGGGGAACUCCAAGCGCUGGUUGUUUGGGUUAUUUCUGUAGCCAAUGCAGCAAAUGAAAGAUUAUUUCGUGAUGCAUAAGCUUCUGCUGUUACAAAAAAUAAUAGCAAUGAUAUUCAAUACCUUGAAAUGUUGAUGUA